rnacentral:rRNA from 1 species
UCGGGAAUUUUGGGCAAUGGGCGAAAGCCUGACCCAGCAACGCCGCGUGAAGGAUGAAGUAUUUCGGUAUGUAAACUUCGUAAGAAUAGGAAGAAUAAAUGACGGUACUAUUUAUAAGGUCCGGCUAACUACGUGCCAGCAGCCGCGGUAAUACGUAGGGACCAAGCGUUGUUCGGAUUUACUGGGCGUAAAGGGCGCGUAGGCGGCAUGACAAGUCACUUGUGAAAUCUCCGGGCUUAACUCGGAACGGUCAGAUGAUACUGCUUUGCUAGAGUGCAGAAGGGGCAAUCGGAAUUCUUGGUGUAGCGGUGAAAUGCGUAGAUAUCAAGAGGAACACCUGAGGUGAAGACGGGUUGCUGGGCUGACACUGACGCUGAGGCGCGAAAGCCAGGGGAGCAAACGGGAUUAGAUACCCGUGUAGUCCCUGAGCGGGCUGGCAAGGCGCAU